ensembl:lncRNA
AUGGAAGCAGUAGGGCUGGGAAAUGCAGCCAAAUGUAACCACCUGUAGAUAGUAGGAAAACCACAAAAUAUUUCCUGAGCAGCAGAUGCCUGUGUUGAGCUUGAUACAGCAAUUGAGGAGAAACAGGAGACUGAAGGCUCCAGAAGGAAGAAAAAAUAACACAAGAAGAAAGAUUCAGUGCUUCAACCGUUGAAGGAUUAAAUGAAGAGAUGUCUAAAUAAUAAUGCUGAUUCCCUCACUUUACUCCUGAUUUGAAGAUGCAGACAAACAGAGAAAUACAUUCAUGCAGACCUAUAUUUCACCUGUAUGAAACGCAGAAGACAAUUCCAUGCUCCUGCUUCCGGAUCAGCAAGUGCUUUCUCCUUCCAUCUCUCCUGAUGCCAUCUCAUUUCUCUUGUGCUCUGCUUCUUUUAGCCACUUGGACAAACAACUUUUAUCAGUUAAAGAACCAAUGUGAAAAAAUGAAUGCCUGCUGAUUUUAAACCACGCUAAUGAGGGAUCCAUCACUUUAUUUUCUGACUGUUCUAUGAAUGUCGACACAAAGUCAACUUUCAUAGCGCAGAAGUUAUUCAGGAAGACAGUUUAUUUGCCCUGAACAAUGGUCCACUUUUAAUAACAUUAUUGCAGAACAACUGAACUCCGAAGCCUACUCCAAACAAAAUUUUAAAUGACUUGUCUCAG